GUCCAUGGCUAAUGUACAUCACAUUAGCUGGGACAGUUAGGACUAAACUUUGGUUCAUUUUUUAGGACUAAGCCUCCCUUUGUCUCUCCCUGCAGCUGCUUUUUUCCAUCCUUUCAUCUCUUUUAUUUCUCCGUCAUAAAAAAAUCCUAAAUAUAGCGUGAUAGAACGGCAAUCCCACGUUGUCUCAUGGCGGGCCACAAGGACGUAUGGACACAUGAGAGAGGACACUGGAUCAACUGCCUCGUCUUAAAAGCUUUCUUCAGCUGUUUUUCUCCCGUUUCGUGAAAUAAAAAUGUUACAAGCAUUCACAGUAUGAUUUUAUAAUAUAUGCAUGCAAUAAUUCAAAAUAUAUAAUUAAAACUUAAUAAUUCACAG